UCCCUGGCAGUCCAGUAGUUAAGACUUUGCCCUUCCAAGGCAGGGGAUGCAGGUUCGAUCCCUGAUUGGGGAA
rnacentral:tRNA from 1 species